rnacentral:rRNA from 1 species
AUUGAACGCUGGCGGCAUGCCUUACACAUGCGAGUCGAACGGCAGCGCGGACUUCGGUCUGGCGGCGAGUGGCGAACGGGUGAGUAAUACAUCGGAACGUACCCUGUUGUGGGGGAUAACUAGUCGAAAGAUUAGCUAAUACCGCAUACGACCUGAGGGUGAAAGUGGGGGACCGCAAGGCCUCACGCAGCAGGAGCGGCCGAUGUCUGAUUAGCUAGUUGGUGGGGUAAAGGCCCACCAAGGCGACGAUCAGUAGCUGGUCUGAGAGGACGAUCAGCCACACUGGGACUGAGACACGGCCCAGACUCCUACGGGAGGCAGCAGUGGGGAAUUUUGGACAAUGGGGGCAACCCUGAUCCAGCAAUGCCGCGUGUGUGAAGAAGGCCUUCGGGUUGUAAAGCACUUUUGUCCGGAAAGAAAUCGCGCUGGUUAAUACCUGGCGUGGAUGACGGUACCGGAAGAAUAAGCACCGGCUAACUACGUG